GCCUGACUGGCUCAGUCGGUGGAGCGUGCGACUCCUCAUCCCGAAGUUGUGGGUUUGAGUCCCACACUGGGUA
rnacentral:tRNA from 1 species